UUAAAAAUUGUAAAUUCAUUGAAUUAUUUCUCCCUUUGUAUUUUUUUUACAAAUUCUCAAUCUAAGAAAAUAAAAAUUAAAUUUUUGAAUACAUUUUUUACUAAUUACCAUUAUUCAAAUCUAAUUUUAUAGGUUUUUAUUUUUUGUUUCGAAACCGCUUGCUGAAUUAAUUUUUAGCCUUAAGUAAAAUAAAAAAUCAAUAAAACAAUGAAUUUUAAACAGACAAAAUCCUGAAUGCAAAAAUGAACUCACAAAACUAUAUAUGUACGUUUUAAAACAGGUCUAUUAGGAAGCAACUUACAAAUUAAGACAACGUUGUUGGUGCAGCACUGUUAGCUGCUGGAUUCUCCUUUUCCUCUGUUUGAUUUUAUAACCAUUUCAUUAUUGGAAUAAUGAUGAUCUUUGUGUAUCUUCUAUGCGGCUCUCAUCUAUGAAGUGCAAUGCAUGAACUCACAGAAUUAAAACCCAAGUGACAGUCCCUGGUAAGAUCACCGAACUUUCUUUCAAGAAAUUGAACAGUAAAACCGAUUCGAUCCCACAAUGCACUCUGAACACUUGUUUACACAGGAAACAAAAAUAUAUUUAUAAUUAUCUCGUUUUUU